rnacentral:rRNA from 1 species
UACAGAGGUGGCAAGCGUUGUUCGGAAUUACUGGGCGUAAAGGGCGCGUAGGUGGCGGGUCAAGCGUGCGGUGAAAGCUCGGGGCUCAACCCCGAGUCGGCCGUGCGAACUAGCUUGCUUGAGCACUGUAGAGGCAGAUGGAAUUCCUGGUGUAGCGGUGAAAUGCGCAGAUAUCAAGCGGAACACCGGUGGCGAAGGCGGCCUUCUGGACGAUGACUGACGCUGAGACGCGAAAGCGUGGGGAGCAAACAGG